rnacentral:rRNA from 1 species
AGUGAACGCUGGCGGUAGGCCUAACACAUGCAAGUCAAACGGCAGCACAGUAAGAGCUUGCUCUUACGGGUGGCGAGUGGCGGACGGGUGAGGAAUACAUCGGAAUCUCCUUUUUCGUGGGGGAUAACGUAGGGACACUUACGCUACUACCGCAUACGACCUACGGGUGAAAGCAGGGGAUCUUCGGACCUUUCGCGUUUGAAUGAGCUGAUGUCGGAUUAGCUAGUUGGCGGGGUAAAGGCCCACCAAGGCGACGAUCCGUAGCCGGUCUGAGAGGAUGAUCAGCCACACUGGAACUGAGACACGGUCCAGACUCCUACGGGAGGCAGCAGUGGGGAAUAUUGGACAAUGGGCGCAAGCCUGAUCCAGCCAUACCGCGGGGGUGAAGAAGGCCUUCGGGUUGUAAAACCCUUUUGUUGGGAAAGAAAAGCAGCAGGUUAAUACCCCGCUGUUCUGACGGUACCCAAAGAAUAAGCACCGGCUAACUUCGUG